rnacentral:rRNA from 1 species
GACGAACGCUGGCGGCGUGCCUAAUACAUGCAAGUAGAACGCUGAAGGAGGAGCUUGCUUCUCUGGAUGAGUUGCGAACGGGUGAGUAACGCGUAGGUAACCUGCCUGGUAGCGGGGGAUAACUAUUGGAAACGAUAGCUAAUACCGCAUAAUAGUAGAUGUUGCAUGACAUUUGCUUAAAAGGUGCAAUUGCAUCACUACCAGAUGGACCUGCGUUGUAUUAGCUAGUUGGUGAGGUAACGGCUCACCAAGGCAACGAUACAUAGCCGACCUGAGAGGGUGAUCGGCCACACUGGGACUGAGACACGGCCCAGACUCCUACGGGAGGCAGCAGUAGGGAAUCUUCGGCAAUGGACGGAAGUCUGACCGAGCAACGCCGCGUGAGUGAAGAAGGUUUUCGGAUCGUAAAGCUCUGUUGUAAGAGAAGAACGAGUGUGAGAGUGGAAAGUUCACAAUGUGACGGUAUCGUACCAGAAAGGGACGGCUAACUACGUG